AAAAUCAUUUCACUUCAGGAGCUUCUGGUGUUGCAAGGUAUGCAAACAGCAGCAACAUCAGCGUAUCCAAGCUGCAAGUCAUUUGACAGAACUUUGCCCAGUAUGUGACAAGGAGCUUCAUAAUGUGACUGUACGUUUGCAAGACAUCCAUCGUCAAAUGUGACAAACUAGUAUGUUAAAUACCUUGGCACAAAAGACACCACCAGUUUGUCAACGAGCCAUUCAAGAACAUCUCAAACAACCGACGACUUUUCUGUUAUGCUGAACAAUUUUUGCGUCAAGAGGUACUUUCUUU